rnacentral:rRNA from 1 species
AGCGAACGCUGGCGGCAGGCUUAACACAUGCAAGUCGAGCGGGUGUAGCAAUACAUCAGCGGCAGACGGGUGAGUAACGCGUGGGAACGUACCUUUUGGUUCGGAACAACACAGGGAAACUUGUGCUAAUACCGGAUAAGCCCUUACGGGGAAAGAUUUAUCGCCGAAAGAUCGGCUCGCGUCUGAUUAGCUAGUUGGUAGGGUAACGGCCUACCAAGGCGACGAUCAGUAGCUGGUCUGAGAGGAUGAUCAGCCACAUUGGGACUGAGACACGGCCCAAACUCCUACGGGAGGCAGCAGUGGGGAAUAUUGGACAAUGGGGGCAACCCUGAUCCAGCCAUGCCGCGUGAGUGAUGAAGGCCCUAGGGUUGUAAAGCUCUUUUGUGCGGGAAGAUAAUGACGGUACCGCAAGAAUAAGCCCCGGCUAACUUCGUGCCAGCCGCCGCAGUAAUAC